GGGUGAUCAUGCCGCGACGGCAUGACAGGAUACGCGCUGGUCGGGCCGCCACG
rnacentral:ncRNA from 2 species